GAUGAACGCUGGCGGCGUGCUUAACACAUGCAAGUCGAACGAAGCAUUUCGUUUCAAUCCUUCGGGUGCGAAACGGAGUGACUGAGUGGCGGACGGGUGAGUAACGCGUGGGAACCUGCCGUAUGCAGGGGGACAACAGUUAGAAAUGACUGCUAAUACCGCAUAAGCGCACAGUACCGCAUGGUACGGUGUGAAAAGAUUUAUCGGCAUACGAUGGACCCGCGUCUGAUUAGCUGGUUGGCGGGGUAACGGCCCACCAAGGCGACGAUCAGUAGCCGGCUUGAGAGAGUGACCGGCCACAUUGGGACUGAGACACGGCCCAA
rnacentral:rRNA from 1 species